rnacentral:rRNA from 1 species
ACUCAAAGGAAUAGACGGGGGCCCGCACAAGCGGUGGAGCAUGUGGUUCAAUUCGACGCAACGCGAAGAACCUUACCUGGGCUCGAAAUGCAGUGGACCGGGGUAGAAAUAUCCCUUUUCGCAAGAACUGCUGCAUAGGUGCUGCAUGGCUGUCGUCAGCUCGUGUCGUGAGAUGUUGGGUUAAGUCCCGCAACGAGCGCAACCCUUAUCGUUAGUUGCCAGCGAGUCAAGUCGGGCACUCUAGCGAAACCGCCUCGGAUAACGGGGAGGAAGGUGGGGAUGACGUCAAGUCCUCAUGGCCUUUAUGUCCAGGGCUACACACGUGCUACAAUGGUCGGUACAAACCGUCGCAAACUCGCGAGAGGGAGCUAAUCGGAAAAAGCCGGCCUCAGUUCGGAUUGGAGUCUGCAACUCGACUCCAUGAAGCUGGAAUCGCUAGUAAUCGCGGAUCAGAACGCCGCGGUGAAUACGUUCCCGGGCCUUGUACACACCGCCCGU